rnacentral:rRNA from 1 species
CAAUAGCGUAUACUAAUGUUGUUGCAGUUAAAAAGCUCGUAGUUGAACUUCUGGUAGGAGUGUCCCGGCCUUUUUGUUUUUACAAAUUGUAUGCUGUGUGACAUCUCUGGCCAUCCUUCUUCUUUGUUUAAAGAAGAUCUUUCACUGUAAAAAAAUUAGGGUGUUCAAAGCAAAAGUUUCUUUGGAAUAUAUUAGUAUGGGAUGAUAAGAUAGGCUCUAGAUGCUAUUUUGUUGGUUUGCACAUUUAGAGAAUGAUUAACAGGGACAGUUGGGGGUAUUCGUAUUUACAUGUCAGAGGCGAAAUUCUUGGAUUUUGGAAAGACGAACUACUGCGAAAGCAUUUACCAAGGAUGUUUUCAUUAA